GAUGAAGAACGUAGCGAAAUGCGAUAAGUAAUGCGAAUUGCAGAAUUCCAGUGAGUCAUCGAAUCUUUGAACGCACAUUGCGCCCUUUGGUAUUCCGAAGGGCAUGCCUGUUCGAGCGUCAUUAUCACCCCUCAAGCCCCCGGCUUGGUGUUGGACGGUUUGGUGGAGGCCCCCUCGGGGGCUCCUGCCCCUCCCAAAGACAAUGACGGCGGCCUCGUUGGACCCCCGGUACACUGAGUUCUUCACGGGACACGGAUCGGACACAUGGGUUUACGGGACACGGUCUGCCUCCCCUCAGGGAGAAUCUUUCUAAGGUUGACCUCGGAUCAGGUAGGGAUACCCGCUGAACUUAAGCAUAUCAAUAAGCGGAGGA
rnacentral:misc_RNA from 1 species